AAUGCUUCUAAUCAUGUGGUUAUUAAAUAAUUAAAAAAAAAAGAUUAAGUGUAGUGUCUGUUCUUACCAGUUUAAUACCUCAUACGUCCUCUAGCCAAAGACAAUAUAUUAAAUGGAUUUUUGGAGUUAGUAGAUGGAAUAGGAGCUUGCUGUAUCCACUCCAUGCAUUUACCUGGCAUUGCAGGUCCUCCAGGAAUGGUCCACCACUU
rnacentral:snRNA from 1 species